GCCCGGGUGGCGGAAAUGGUAGACGCAAGGGACUUAAAAUCCCUCGGGAGUUUUUCCCGUGCCGGUUCAAGUCCGGCCCCGGGCACCA
rnacentral:tRNA from 1 species